rnacentral:lncRNA from 1 species
AUUGAAGCCCAGGUCGCCACACAGGAACAGGCUCCUCCCCGCUGCAAAUGGCGUGAACUUCUGGAGGCCCCACCCCGUUCUCCCAGUGCAAAGGUUUAUUGAAAAUGUUACAACAUUUCAGAAAGAUUCAAACAGCUCCAUGUGGUGGAUAGUCCAAUCUGCAGGUCACUCAGCCUACAGUUGGGAUGAAUUUCCCAAAGUCCAAACCUUCAGCAUUUCUCCAGUAUCAAGAUCUACUUCAGUGAUCUCCUGAUCCAAGCCUGAGACCUCAGGAGCAUAAUUAUCUCUCCUUUCUCUCUUCUUCUCCUGCAACCUGAUGGAAAUACCUCUUACUGGGCCCCUGUGAAUCUGCUUCUUCAGAUGCGUGACUCAGCCUGCUAUCUUGUUGCAGAGCUUCUUGCUGGGGAUAAUGACAGUCUUCACCCACUUGCUUGUUCAUGUGGAAAUCAUUACCGGGGUGCAUGUAAUACUUUUCUAUGAUGACCCAGGCUACCUUCUUCACUGUUUUGGUGUGAAGGCUGCCCAUCUUGGCAGGUCCUUGGUAAAAGAGGCCAAACUCUUUAUACUUAAAAAUUUACUUUGCUCAUCUUACAGCCUUUUACAUCUAAAUAUAGUUUCAUCAAGUAACAUUCUUACAAUUAUAUUCAUUU